GUUCGUAGACUUUUUCCCUGACUUUUUCAUUUAACGUCAUUUUAUAUCCAAAUUUAGUACAAAUAUUUUAACAACAGAUUCAAAUAAAAAAAAAUGGAAUGUAUCUUAAUAUUUAUCAAAAUUACCAUGGAUUUAGAACAUCAAAAAUGGGGUCACGGCCAAAAUUGAGUAUUUUUCUAAUUUUCACUUUAUAGUAUUUACAGCUAUACCUCUAAUAAAUAAAACUGAAACGAAAUAAAAUUUACAUGUUUAAAUAAAGUAUUGUUCUAUUAAUUAAAAUGAAAUCAGGUUAUGUAAUAUCUCGCUCCGUUUAAAAGAUAUUAGUUUCUAAAUACAUAAGGACUUGAUUGAAAAAGGCAAAAAACCAUGACGUUGGAGGAUGUCACGGAUCGGAGCAGCAAGUAGCAAUAAAAUUAGACUUUACAUUCAGGAAACUUCUUCUACAAGCUUAAAAAUCCUUUUAAUCCAGGAUCUGUAUGAAAAAUGAUCUGUGUAUUUGUAUUAAAUUAAAAAUACAAUUUUUGAGUGGUAGCGAGUUUGAAUCGGACGAUGGAUGGUCUGUAAAGAAACAGGUUAAAGUUAAAAAUAUUGUUAAAAGAUUUUAGGAACGUCACUGAACGUGAUGUGCGCUUCAAUGUUGCAGAAUUAAUAGAGUUGCAUAGUGAUUUAAAGAAUUUGAAAAAAACAACAUUCUUAUUCAAGCUGUAUGUGUACAAUUGUUUGCAAACUAGGUGUUAAGUGUUGUGGAUAUGUGUGUUUUGAAUGGAGAAGACACUUCAAGACUGUGUUUGAAAUUAAAAAAAAAUUAGUAUACUUUUGACAAACUCUCUGUGUUGUUGUUGACGUUACAAUAUUGGUUAACCGUGCUCCGUGGUAACAAAACAUGCUGCUUUAAAUGUUGGCUAGCAUGAGUUCUAUUUAAUCAAAUGGAAUGAAACUUCACACUUCGACAAAAUAAAUGUUUAUGUUUACGAAAAUGUAUCGAUCUAUCAUCUUGAAAUAAUAACAUGACGAUGAGAAGCAUUGUCUACGUAUUUUUUGAAUGACCCUCGUAUAAAGUUAAUAUUUUAUUUACAUUAAAAUUGUUAUUAUGUGAUAUAAAUAAAAUGAAUACAUAGGUUCAUACAGUCUGACUUAAAACCACUUUUUAAGAAAAACCUUUGUUUUUAUUGAACUUAAUGCUUAGGUAUCAUAUGCUAACACACAAUAAUUUUAUUGUUUUGUUUUUCUGGUCAAACCCAUUAAAACCGAAAUAUGCAAAUAAUAUCGCUCGGCAGGUUUGUGUUGCAAUAUUAGCACUUACAGGACAGAUGUUAAUUUGAGUACCCGGCUACCGAUACUAAAAAAUCAUUAAUUUGAGCUAUUUUUUAGUUGGAAUAAUUAUUUAAAGUUAUGUGGAAAUGUUUUAGCUACAUGUAUAUAGUAAAGGCGUUGAACUUAUAUUGGUGAGUAUUGACACUCGUUACAUGAAAGUGCUCAAAUGCACUCGCAAACUCGUGCAUUUGAACUGCCAACGUGUGCUAAUAUUCAUCAAUAGAAAGGUUUAGCAUGCUCACUUGUACGUGUACAUGUAUGUGUAAACUACAAGUUAGAAUUACACGUACACGUUAACAAUUUUGUCUUGUUUAGCAAAGUAUAACCUGUACUUGUACUUGUAAGUUUUUAAAUGUAAAAGUGGUUUACAUUUAAAAAUCAUCCGCAAAAGCAAUACUUUUAAUACGUAUAUCACCGUUCUACAUAAAUAUAUGCAUGUACUUAUGAGAAAAAGAUUGUACAGAUUUCUUAUAUUUUUAAUCGGUCACAGUCUUUUUCGAAAAUCUAGAUGUUGUAAUUUUAACUCCCUGUAAAUUAACAUUUUUUCAAUUACUGACGUUCAGUUUUUAUAUCAGUAUUUACAUUAAAUAUUCAGGUUUCAGAAAAACGCACACUUUUUGAAAAAUAUACAUCAGUGAAAAAAUUAUAAGCUAUAAGUUUUAAAUUACGUGUACUUGGCAAUGUACACGUAAUUUGCGUAAUAAGAUACGUGUAGAUAGUCAUCAUUAGCAAAAGUGAUGACGUAAUGCACAUGUUUCUGGUUUGCUAAACCUCUUUAAUAUAAGUAUGAUAAUUCCAUAUCAUAUUGAACAAACUUGGGUUUUGAAGAUGUUUUCUUUUAUUAAAUAUUUAUAAUGAAUUUAAUUGAAUAAUUAUAAUAUAUAUAUAUUUAAAAAUAAAAAUCAUUCACACAAUUAAAAUCUAACACUACAGUAUAAAAAUGUUGAUAUUUUGUGAAUAAAAAAGUGUACAAUUAAUAAAAAAAAAUAAUUAAAGUAUUACUGUUACAUCUGUAUAAGCAUAGUUAAAAGGAACUAAAAAAGUAAAACAUUAAAAUUUUUCAAAGUAUAAUGUAGGCAUUCACUUUCUGUACAUUAUAUAAUCUUUUACUUUUUUGAAUUUCUUUAUGUCUUACGAAGACAAACAUGUCAGAGAAAUGUAAAUUUCUUUCUUUCUAGAGCUUUAAAACCCUUAUUAUGUGUUUUCACGAAUGUAAAUGAAGA